GCCAAAUCAAUUAUUGCUUCAUUUGCAAGAAACCCCAAACAAAAUUUGCUCGGCACUUAAAAGACAUGCACACCAGAAUGCAGAUGUCGCCAAGGCGUUAUCACUAGCUCCAAGUUCAUGUGAGAGAAAGACAAUUUUGGAAAAAUUGCGGAAUCUUGGUAAUUUCUCACAUAAUACAGAAGUCAAAGCCACUGGAUCCGGGGCUCUAAAAUUUAAAAGAGAAUCUAAAACAAGCAAUGUCUCUGAGGCAUAUGAUUUCUGCACCCACUGCAAAGGGAUGUUUUCCCGUAGAUAACUAUGGAAACACAUGAAGCGAUGCCUGCUCAAUUCGGCAAUGACUGAGGAAACAAGUGCAGGAAGGAAAAAAAAUACAAGUUUGUCUAAAUAUGGAGCAUCUGAAAGUGCAUCUCAAGAGCUCUUGGCAUUGAUCGAAAAAAUGCACAGAAAUGAAGUGUAUGACGCAAUCAUACAUGACUUCUUUGUUCUUCGGUUUGGGAAAACAAUGUACAACAAACAUGGACUUGACUAGUCUAAACACGACUACAUCCGCCAGAAACUAAGAGAAUUAGGUAGAUUGCUUGUUGCUUUGAGAAAUACGUGAACUAUAGACUCAGCAGUCAAACCAUCCAAUUUCAUGACUCUUAUUAAGGCUGUGAAGAAGGUCGCUGGCUUUGAUGAAGUAACUGGAAUCUACAAAUCACCCAGUUUGGCCCUUAAAAUUGGGCACUCCCUCCGGCGGGUUAGUGAACUGAUUAUGUGCCAGUUUCUUAUGGAUGAGGAUGACGAGGGGGUCGAGUCAAUCAGAAGGUUCCACAAAUUGUACGACACCCAGUGGUGAGAAUUUGUUUCCCACUCAGCCUUGACAAAUUUGAGCGAUGCUAAUUACAAUAAGACACAACCAUCCCUCUAGCAGAGGAUGUUCAGAGACUUCAUCUCCAUCUUCAUCAGGAGGCAGAUUUCGCUACAGAGAACCUGAACAGUACAUCAUCCACAGGUACUUCUGCAGCCCUGGCUAAAAUAACACUAUGCAAAGUCAUUCUAUUCAACAGGAGGAUGUCUGGUGAAGUCUCAAAGAUGACUUUAAAACAUUUUCUGGAUCGGGAUAACUCAAAAAUGAACGAUGACAUAACCACAGGACUGAACGAAAUCGAGAAGAGACUUUGUCAGCAGCUCAAUAGAGUCGAAUUGAAGGGGAAAAGGGGACGCAAAGUCGCGGUCCUCCUCACACCCGACAUGACUGCUUCAUUAACUCUCCUUGUCAGCAAAAGCAAAGAGUGUGGAGUCGAUGAUGGCAAUGGACACCUCUUUGCAAUUCCCCACUGUCAAGGUUUCUUCAGAGGACAAGACUGCCUCUGUAAAAAUGCUCGUGCUGCUUGUGGAGCUGUUAACCCGUGCAGUUUGACCUCAACUAAUCUGCCCAAGCAUAUCGCCACAAUUAGUCAAGUCAUGAAUCUAAAAGACAAUGAACUGGACCAGCUUGCAAACUUCUUAGGCCAUGACAUACGGGUGCAUCGGGAAUACUACCGCUUGCCCCAGUCGACGAUUCAGCUUGCAAAAAUAUCUAAGCUGCUGAUUGCCAUGCAGGGCGGGUGUGUGAAAGACAUCCAAGGGAAGUCACUCCACCAGAUAGGCGAUGAUUUUCAGGUGAUGUGGAAGAUUUCGCCCCUACUCCCAAUCAUCCAGGUCCUCCUCCUGAAAUUUGCAUCCAAGGUGACAUGGAAGAAUUUGCCUCUGUUGCUGAUGAAUCUGGUCACCCUCCUAAAACCGGCCUUCAAGGUAAACACAUUCCAUCCGAGGGGAGGCGCUGUGUGAAGAGACCGUGGUCGGAAACUGAAACAAAAGCUGUGAUGAAGCACAUGAAGCCAUACAUUCUGAACGGACUUCUGGUCACGAGCGCUCAAUGUGCAUUCUGCAAAGAACACCCUGCAUUAGAAGGACGCACAAUUCAAAAUAUUCAUGAUUUUGUAAGAAAUAAUGGCCUAAAGAAAAAAUAAGUAGUAUUCACACAUGGAAUAGUUGAUGUUUUGCAGUUGUUUCAAGAAUCAAGCUAAAUUCAGACAAGUUAAGUUACGUUUUUUGGUCGCUGGUGGUUCGCGGUUUUGAGUGACUUACGUUUGAGAUGUGUUCAGUCUGAUUUUAUGAAGCUUUUCUUUGAGAAUUGUCAACACUGCUUUAGUAUCCUCACAAUCCUGUUUGCAGUCUGUGUGUCAACUAGUGUCCUUGAAAUAAA
ensembl:lncRNA